rnacentral:rRNA from 1 species
UACGUAGGGGGCGAGCGUUGUCCGGAAUUAUUGGGCGUAAAGAGCGUGUAGGCGGUUCGGUAAGUCUGCCGUGAAAACCCAGGGCUCAACCCUGGGCGUGCGGUGGAUACUGCCGGGCUAGAGGGUGGUAGAGGCGAGUGGAAUUCCCGGUGUAGCGGUGAAAUGCGCAGAUAUCGGGAGGAACACCAGUAUCGAAGGCGGCUCGCUGGGCCACACCUGACGCUGAGACGCGAAAGCGUGGGGAGCAAACAGG